rnacentral:rRNA from 1 species
ACGGAAGGCAGCAGUGGGGAAUAUUGCACAAUGGGGGAAACCCUGAUGCAGCAACGCCGCGUGAGUGAUGAAGUGCCUUGGCAUGUAAAGCUCUAUCAGCAGGGAAGAAAAUGACGGUACCUGACUAAGAAGCCCCGGCUAACUACGUGCCAGCAGCCGCGGUAAUACGUAGGGGGCAAGCGUUAUCCGGAUUUACUGGGUGUAAGGGUGCGUAGGUGGUAUGGUAAGUCAGAAGUGAAAACCCAGGGCUUAACCUUGGGAUUGCUUUUGAAACUAUCAAACUAGAGUACAGGAGGGGUAAGCGGAAUUCCUAGUGUAGCGGUGAAAUGCGUAGAUAUUAGGAAGAACACCAGCGGCGAAGGCGGCUUACUGGACUGUAACUGACACUGAGGCACGAAAGCGUGGGGAGCAAACAGGAUUAGAUACCCUGGUA